AGCUUUGCAAGCUUUUGUUCACUUUUAUGACUUGCUAGUAUAUCUGGAUAGUUACAGAGCUAGACGAGAGCUUUCAGUUGUGUAAGGAGCUGCUUAGGCAGAGGAAGCAAAUACCAUGGGAAGAAGGAAUUUACUUGCUUUAUAAAAAAAAAAAUCUACAUUGCAAGAAACCGUUUCACUUCCAAACAGGAAUACCUACUGAUAUUACCGAUAUAUUGAUGACAUACACGCUAUCCUCAAGGUAAGAUCAUCGGAUCUGAGUCUUUCUAUCCUUAAUCAGGUCUGUCCUUCCCUCUAAUUUGUUCCAUUUUACUGAUAUAACUAAAUGGAUUUGUGUAAUGACUGUAUAGUGACACGGAAUGUUCUGUGAAUGUGUGCUAACAGAUCAGGUAUGCUCAGUGUGUAACGAGUGUCCGUUAGAUUUAUUUGUGCAAUGGUUUGAUUUCUGGGAUACAAUGUUUCUACAUGUUUGGCUCGCGAUGAGACCAGGACUAUAUGCACGUUUCUCAGACCGAGGGCUAUGCAAACUGUUUCCUCUGGG